UCUGCUGCCCAGCCCUAGACUUCUCUCCAGCUUGUGUUACUGAAUCUGGGGGUGCACCUUGCAGCAAGACACUGGCCAGUAGCUUAACACUCAGAAGUGCCAGGUGAAUGCAAGCACUGGUGUCAAAACAGUUUUCUCUUCAGCAAUGAGACUGGUUAUCUGUUCUGCCCCAUGAGGAAUGCUUGAGAUGGCAGGCCCAGGAAUGACUUCUGCACUGGGAAACUGUUAAAAUGGAACCUGCUUCCGAAGCAAGCCCAACAUCAGAAUUACUGGCUAUGAGGUGAAGGCUCAAACUGGGAGACUGGGAUCUGUCGUUUCCAGUUGCAACUGUUCCAGUUCCUCGUUGUCAUUAGAGCUGACAGAGUCAAAAGUCUAAAAUGCAUAGAUGCACACAUGAUGAUGGGAACAGCUAUGGGCAUUAAAAUGGCCCCACAGUAUGCCAACCUUUUUAUGAGCCACCUGGAAGAAGACUUCCUCAAGAACUGCACCAUCAAACCCUUACUAUACCUAAGAUACAUU